UUGCCCCUUAGGCGGUCAGUCCUCCGGCUUUGAGGUUCCAGCCCUUGUCCGCUCCCAGACGACGGGGUAGAGGAAUUCACACUUUCCCUGACACAAACAGACUCUCCAGCUCAGACACUAGUCCAUGUGAGAAUUCGAUUUUUCCUGUCUUUGCCAUCUCGGGCUGUCCUCUUAGUAAUUACAGUAAUUAUCAAGCAAUAAUAAUACUUAGUAAUUGUAUGUCUCUGACAGAAGAACUGAGACAAGGGUGUAGAUGAGGAAAAUCAAAGUGGAGCUAGGGAUAGCUGAUUUCACAAAGCUGUUGUGGUGCCCUGGAGAUGUACGCCAAUCGAGUGGGUGGUAUUUUCAAAUACUUGCCCUGUGCGCAAGGGACGGCUUUUCACAAGUGCUUUCACAGCCUACCACAAUUACAACUUUCACCGUUGCAGGAAUAAGGAUCCACAGGCUUUAAUGGUUGUGACUUUCUUCUACUGUCUCAAGAUAAGUCCAUGGGAGAGACUGAAGUGGUAGCUUGGUUGCAUGACUGAUACUGCUUGGGAGAUUUAUUUGAUAAAAAAUGCUUGAAAUCUAAAAAGCUAUUACAAUAUCAUUACAGGAAACUUGCAAAAUGGAGAAAAAUAAUUAUCUAAAAUUCCUCCGCCCUGACCCAAACCCAACUAUGACAGCUUUAAUUUAUUAUAUAUAUAUAUAUAUAUAUAUAAUUUUUUGAGACAGAGUCUCACUGUGUCACCCUGGGUGGAGUGCCCUGGCUUCAUAGCUCACAGCAACCUCAAACUCUCAAGCCAUUCUCUUGCCUCAGCCUCCCAAGUAGCUGGGACUACAGGCGCCGGCCACAACGCCCGGCUAUUUUUAGAGACAGGGUCUCCCUCUGCCUCAGGUUGGUCUCCAACCAUGAGCUCAGGCUAUUCACCUGCCUCAGCCUCCCAGAGUGCUAGGAUUAUAGGCGUGAGCCCCUGCGCUGGGCUUAUUCAUGCCAUUUAAAAUAUUGUUCAAAACUAGUAUUGGAGAGGUCACAUUCUUACUAUGUGAACACUUUUUGGACCCUCGCUGACUGCAUCAAGUAUGGGUGUGUGAUGGCACCACAGCUAGUACGUCUGCUAACCAGUAGAACUAGGGAGUGGCCUUGCCUGCGAGCUCUGAUUACAAGAACAGCAGUGACUAAUUGAAGCAAUGAGGUUCUCUUUCUUGGGGAGUUUAGAUGUGAGACACCCAGAGACAACAGGGGGUCAAGCAGAAAAUAGUGACAAAAGCCAUCAGGUGAUAGAAACCAGGAGGCGGUGAAAGGAAGUCACCAGUAAGCAGAGGCUUACGUGUGUAGAGAGAAAAAACAAACAGCUAUGGCAACGAAGACGGUAAGGGGCUGGCACAGCACCAUGGCAAAGCACACAGAAGGGAGCCUGGGCACCUAGUACUAAGGAUGCACAGUUUAAUGAGGGGUCAGUCCGAAUAACCUUCAGGCCUCAAACAACGUUUUAUUCUCUGCAUUGCUUGACUUAGCUACAGAUGCCAUUAUGCCCUGUCUCCCUACUUCCCUGAAUGUCCUUAGAAUAAAUCCCUUGCCAACAAAGGAAUCUAACUUUGUUCAUUGCCUCCUAAAGAAGCCCAACAUAAUAACUGAUGUGAAAUCAUGUGUACUGCUUAAAAACACAUAUUAACAGUUAAAUUUUGCUAAACAGAAUGGAUACUUAUCAUUUUAAUAACUACAGUAUUCCAAUGAGUGUCAUUUCUAGACCUGUAGAAUUUCUGAUAGUUUUUCCUGAAUUUUUCCCACAACGGAUUUGGUGUGGUGUGCAGGAUACUUAUAAAUCAUUUCCAUACCUGUGGAAAAGCAGUGUGGUAGGGAGGAUGAGAGAUGGACUCUGAAUGCCGAGCCCUGGCCUGUACAUUUCUAGCUGAGUGGUCACAGGUAGGUUUCUUAUCUCUACUAGGCCAGAUCCAUUUAAUCUAUGAAAUGGGUAUAAUUAAAAUAUCUAUCUUUUAGAGUGGUUGUGAGAGUCAAAUGCAAUAAUCUUUGUCAAUUGCUUCUCCAACUAAAAAGGGUCACAGAAAUGUUAUUGGAAAAUCCAGAAGAAGAAUAAGUGCACUUAAGAAUAAUGAGGAAAAAAAAAAGACAGAUUUACAGUAAUCACUUGCUGCUUGCUUAUGCAUUUGUACCCAAGAUUUUUUUUUUUUCUUUAAGAGAUGGAGUCUUACUCUGUAGUCCAUGCUGGAGUGCAGUGGUGCAAUCAUAGCUCACUGCAACCUUGAACUCCCAGACUCAAGCAAUUCUCUUAUUCUCUUGCCUUGGCCUCCCAAAAUUCUGGGAUUACAGGUGUGAGCCAUAGCACCAGCCCAUCUUUUCUUACUUCUAUAUGCAGCAUGUAUUUCUUGGCUCACAGCCUAUUCCUUCAUCUUCAAAACACAACAGCAGAGCAUGCCCAGAUCUCUCUCUCUCUCUGACCUUUGCUUCUGUCUUCAUGUCUUCUCUGACUCUGAGCCUCCUGCCUCCCAUUUAUAAGGGCCUCUGUGAUUACAUUGAGCCCACCUGGGUAAUCCAGGACAAUCACUCUAUCUCAAAAGUUUUUGACUGAAUCUGCAGUCCUUCUUACUGGAAAAGUAACACAUUCACAGACUUCAGGUUUAGGACUUGGAUGUCUUCCGUGUACCUGUGUAUGUGUGUGUGUGUGUGCAUGUGUGUGCAGGGGUGGUUAUUCUGCUACCAGAGCUUCAAACCCUGCCUGCUGGCUGUUUGUCCAACUCCUAAAACCUGGCAACUAUGAACUCACACUCCCAGGCCACACUUAUGGCUGCUACAGCCACAACCACUGCUUUGCCACCAGCUGUCACUACCAGUGUAGCUGUUGCUGGUCCGCUACCCUAGCAGGAAAUGAUACCAGAAUCACCCAUUGUCAAACACAGCCAGAAAGUGUAAUUUACAAGGCCCUGGAAUUCUUCCAGAACAGAAUGCCACACAUAAGGGAGAGAGUUCAACCGUGAGCUGAGAUGCACUGGUCAGAUAACCAGCAAAGUCCAUUGCUUGGGUGUCUCAGCAUUCAUUCUUACCCUUUCAUCUAGACUUAACUUCCACACACAACAACAAUAACAAUGUCAUGCUCUUCCUUAAGAUACAGUAGCAAUCCUUCAUACAAAUGAAAUGCUUUGGCACUUUUUUGCCAAAUCCUAUUAAUCACUGUAUCCACUAGUAGAUGGUAUAAAUUGUUUUCUAGUCUAGUUCCAAGUUCAUCUGUACAGUCUGUAACCUAAAAUCUAGUUAUAAGUUAACCAUUCCUGCUGAAAAAUUAACAAUAUUCUUUCUAUAAAACAAUAGGGGAAACAGAGAGGGACAAGGAAUGAUUACUGAAUAUCUAGAAAUAUAUAAAUAUACAUAUAAAUAUGAAAUAUAUACAAAUAAGGAAGAAAAUAUACCUGGUUGCUACAGGUCUUGUUUCUACAGGGUUAUGUGUUGAGGCAAUUGGCAACCAAUCUGGAAAACAUAAAACUUUAGAUGAGUACUUUAUACUUAUGUCAAAAUAAAUUCCACUUGGAUUAAAAGUCUAAGUGUAAAGUAUAAAACUAUUUGAGUAACAGGAGAAUAAAAGCUGUAACUAUUUAUACACGCUGGGGAGAACGGGGAAUUAUUAAACUUGGUACCUGAUGGAUGGGUUUGUGGGGUUAUCUUCCCAGAAAACAAGGUAAAUUUUUAAGUUAAAAUCCUCUUCUUUUAAGGAACCAUUCCCUAUUCCCACCAUGGACAUGUGGUUUGAACAGGAGAUGUCAUCUCCUCAUGUGAAACCCCUCUCCUUCCCAUCUUGGCCACAGUGGAUGGUCUAGGUGAACCAUCUUCAAGGACAUUAUGAGGAAAGAUUUUGUCUGUGGGUAGGAAGCAGAGUUGGCCAAUGACCACUAUAAAAUGUCAAUAAGAGAGGAGAUUCAGGAUAGAAGGGAAAGUGACAGUCUCUAAAUACAUGUAGCUUGUAGCUCCAAGUGAACACAGAACAAAACUCCUACCCCUCCAGCCAGACUAUGUCAUCUACUUCCUGAAGUAGCCCCAAGAUGGUGCCUGCACUUGGUUCUGGAUAGAAUUUCAUCUAGACUUGGGGAGCAGAAAAACCGGCCCAGCAAGCAAAGCACCUGAGCCUUUUUGCCUGUCAUGCAGGUGGCUUCUGGGACUUUUGAUGUGCUAUGCUGAGGGCUGGAGGUGCCUUCCAGAAGUUUGGGCUGCUUUGUCUUCAGCUUUGGAUUCCAGCCAUUGACAACAGAGUCCUGGCCUAUGUAUUGUCACAUGACUGCAGAAGCACUGGGGGCUGAAUGAAGAUGCCUUUGAGGAUAUUGGUGCCUAAUCAGAUCAAAUCAAAUCAAUUCAAAACAAAUGAAAGGAGCCCCCAACCCUUAUGGCCUUAUUCCCAAGUAAGUCCAUGCCACAGCUUUCAUAUCUACGGUGUGUAGUAUAUGGGUGCUGGAUUCAGAUGACCUUGGUUCGAAUUUUGUGUGUACACACAGUCUUGUCCUAGUUACUUAACCUUUUGUAGCCUAGUUGCUCUAUCAAUCAGGGAUUAAAACAGAACCUACCCCAUAGGGGUCAUGAGGUUUUCACUGAGUUGAUGCAGCCACUGGCACAGUGCUGAACCAUUGCUGUUGGGUAGUAAUGCUAUUGCUAUCAUUAUUAUAUUUUUUUGCCUCAAACCAGAUGAGUUUAAGGAAUCUGCAUUGUUGAUCAGCCUCUGAGCUUGAGUGGCACAUGUGGGUCUAUCCUGCAGCAAUUUCUUGGCUGUGCCAAGACAGGGCAUUCUCUCUGAGCAACCCACAAAGAUGGUGGCGCAUACAACUCCAGUAUCUCUGACAGGCAUCCAACAGGGACAGGGUGGGGCUUCCUCACCCUUUUAGAAUUAAAGUAUAAAAGACAAUCCUGAUGUUAGACUGUGUUCCAAGGUCUCAUCUUCAGUUGUCUGCACUGUACAAAUCUUGUGUGACCUUCUUUAAAAUUUGGGGGAUCCAACCUUAGGACAAAAUACUAAACAUCUCUGAUCAUUGGGGUUUCAAUCACAGGCAAACUGGGAGUCAUUUAUACCAAUGCCUUCCCAAUUUUGCCUCUGGUAUGGCCAAAUGUCAGAAGACAGAGAACACACAGCAUAGGGAAAUAUCUCAGAAUUGGACUGGAAGGUAGAGAGAAGAAAAGGGUUGUCAGAGUUUCAAGGAGCUUAUGGCAUAAGGUAGCACAAGGUGGACAUACAAACAGAGCAGAGCCCCGUGGCUGGUCAUGUCAUUCACCAGCAAUAUGAUUCUGUAAGCACCUGGUUCCAGGAAUCACAGUGUGAUUUUAGCCUUCCAUGACAGGCACUGAAUGUAGAGAGAGAAUAAAGAAGGAUAAAGAAAGGCCGGGCACGAUGGCUCAUGCCUGUAAUCCUAGCACUCUGGGAGGCUGAGGCGGGUGGAUUGCUUGAACUCACAAGUUCGAGACUAGCCUGAGCCAGAGAGAGGCCUCCAUCUCUAAAAAUCGCUGGGGGUUGUGAUGGACGCCUGUAGUCCUAGCUACUCGGGAGGCUGAGGCAAGAGGAUCACUUAAGCCCAAGAGUCUGAGGUUGCUGUGAGUUUUGAUGCCAUGGCAGUCUACUAAGGGUGACAAAGUGAGCCUCUAUCUCAAAAAAAAAAAAAAAAAAAGAAGAAGAAGAAUGAUGGAGAGGACUAAUUAAAAUUUGGGUGGAAAGGGAGGUGAGGCCUUUGCAGUAGGAAGAACACUGGAAAUCUCAUAAAUAGCAUUUUAUUGGGAAGACCACGUAAUAUCUGAAUGUAGGUUGGUUAACAGGUCAAUGACAGGCAGAAUGCAGGCACUUUGAAGCCAGAGACAGAAAAAACAAACAAACCAGGUUCAGCAGUUCAGGCAGAAGAUGAACAGAGAUGUCGGGGGAGGAGUCACCUUCGAAGUGAGACUGUGUAUGAGUGCACAUCUACAUGCACAUAUCUAAAAGUGUUCUGAAAACUGCAACCUGCAGUAACACGCUCCUUGUUACAGAAAAGUGGUCACUAAAGGAUGAAUUGGUGAAAAGAGAGGAAAGGCAGGAUUUCACGUGACAAGAAAGAAGAGACUGGGAAGGCUUGGUGGCUGAGUGGGGUAUUGGGGGUGAACAGAGGGUGGUGGGAGCAGAGCUGAGACCUGGGGGUGGCAGAGAAGGUGUAAUCAGUAACACUGGUCAAGGCAAUUUGGAUUGAGCAGUCGAGUUGGACUUAAGGGACAGAAACAAAGAGAGAAAGGGGAGGAAGAUGGAAUUACACCUUUUGGGCGGGUUUGGUAUUUGGGGUUAUAAAGGAUGAAAAAGAUCUGGGAGGAAGUAGCCAGGACAGCAACCAAAUCUCAGGUAAUGGUUUCAGGUAGAUUGUGCAGGUUUGAAGGCAGGGAGACAGAAGCCCAGAGGAGAUAAGAGCAAAGGAACUUGGAGAAAGUUUCUGUGAUCCCAUAACACAGUCUUUCCCUCAUCUCCAUGAUUUCAGCUGGGGGGUGGGACACUCUGCAUGUUUUAUGUGGUUUCACAUGGUUGGUCCUUAGUCUUUCUAUACAAAGCUUUGAGGAGCUUGCAGGGAACCCCCUGGGGGCAUUGUCCACGGACAGACCCCAGGAGCCCAGAGGGCACUCUUGCAGCUCACUGCUUUCACAUCUAGGGGUUCUGAGAUCUGAGGCUGUCUCCUGGGAGCCACCUGCACAGUGGUUAGUAUUGGAGCCAGCUCCCUGCUUGCCUCGUUGUGGAGCCAAUGGGGAGAAAGUGCCACAAGAGUGGAAAGAGCCUAAACUCUGGAAUCACUCCCCAGCCUUUGCCUCCCUGUUAGGCAUGUGGUUUUGUGUGAGUGAUUUGACCUCUCUUAAGUCUCAACUCCUCAUUUGUAAAAUAGGGAUAAUUUUGGCAAUAGCUACCCAUCCAGCUGUCGUGAGGAUUGUGUGAAGUUGUGGAGAUGGCAGUGCUUUGUAAACUGCAGGGUACUUUAUAGAUGCCAACCAUAUAAAUGGUAAACCAUUACCAUCCUUUAAAUGGAGAAAACUUCAGAGAAAUGAAAAUCAAAACCACUUUGAGAUAUCAUCUAACUCCAGUAAGAUUAGCCCACAUAACAAUAUCCCAAAACAAGAGAUGUUGGCGUGGAUGCAGAGAGAAGGGAACACUUUUACACUGUUGGUGGGAAUGCAAGCUAACAUGGCCUUUUUGGAAAGAAGUUUGGAGAACACUCAAGGAACUGAAAGUAGACCUACUGUUCGAUCCUGUAGUUCCUGUACUAGGUAUAUACCCAGAUGACCAAAAAUCAUUUUACAACAAAGACAUUUGCACCAGAAUGUUUAUUGCAGCCCAAUUCAUAAUUGCCAAGUCAUGGAAGCAGCCCAAGCACCCAUCAACUCAUGAAUGGAUUAACAAAUUGUGGUAUAUGUAUACCAUGGAAUACUAUGCAGCCAUAAAAAGAUGGAGACUUCACAUCUUUUAUGUUUACCUGGAUAGAGCUGGAACAUAUUCGUACUUACUUCAGUAAAGUAACUGAAGAAUGGAAAAAGUAAAGUAACUCAAGAAUGGAAAAAAGGUAUCCAGUGUAAUCAUUACUACUAUGAAAUCAAUAUAUAAUCACCUACACAUUCAUAUGAAUAGCAAAACAUAACUAUAGUCCAGGGAAAAGAAGGGAAGACGAGGGAGAGGGAAGGGGGGGGAGGAAGGAGGGUAUCUGGUGGGACCUCAUCUAAUGUGCAUAAUGCAAUGGUACAUUUCAGAACUACUAAGAAUACAGCAUAAAUGUCUUACCACAACAAAUAAGUAAGCAAGGUGAUGGUUAUUUUAAUCAAUUCGAUGUAAGCAUUCCACAUUGUUUAUCAAUUCAGCACAUUGCAUCCCAUAAAUGCAUUAAUGUACACAGUUAUGACUUAAUAAUAAAAAACAAAAACCAGAUUCAUUUCCCCCCAAAUCAAUAGGAAUAAAAAAUAAAAUAAAAUAAAUUUAAUCAAAAGAAAAAAAAUAA